UACGUAGGGACCAAGCGUUGUUCGGAUUUACUGGGCGUAAAGGGCGCGUAGGCGGCUUAACAAGUCACUUGUGAAAUCUCCGGGCUUAACUCGGAACGGCCAAGUGAAACUGUCAAGCUAGAGUGCAGAAGGGGCAAUCGGAAUUCUUGGUGUAGCGGUGAAAUGCGUAGAUAUCAAGAGGAACAUCUGAGGUGAAGACGGGUUGCUGGGCUGACACUGACGCUGAGGCGCGAAAGCCAGGGGAGCAAACGGG
rnacentral:rRNA from 1 species